GUGGGGAAUCUUGCGCAAUGGGCGAAAGCCUGACGCAGCCAUGCCGCGUGGAUGAUGAAGGUCUUAGGAUUGUAAGAUCCUUUCACCGGUGAAGAUAAUGACUGUAACCGGAGAAGAAGCCCCGGCUAACUUCGUGCCAGCAGCCGCGGUAAUACGAAGGGGGCUAGCGUUGCUCGGAUUUACUGGGCGUAAAGGGCGCGUAGGCGGACAUUUAAGUCAUGGGUGAAAUCCCGGGGCUCAACCUCGGAACUGCCUUUGAUACUGGGAGUCUUGAGUAUGAGAGAGGUGUGUGGAACUCCGAGUGUAGAGGUGAAAUUCGUAGAUAUUCGGAAGAACACCAGUGGCGAAGGCGACACACUGGCUCAUUACUGACGCUGAGGCGCGAAAGCGUGGGGAGCAAACAGGAUUAGAAACCCCGGUAGUCC
rnacentral:rRNA from 1 species